AACGCACAUUGCGCCCAUUAGUAUUCUAGUGGGCAUGCCUGUUCGAGCGUCAUUUCAACCCUUAAGCUUAGCUUAGUAUUGGGAAUCUGCUUAACCGCAGCUCCUUAAAUCUAGUUGGCAGAGCACAGCUGUACUCUGAGCGUAGUAAUUCAUUAUCUCGCUUUCUGAAGACAGUUGUACGAUAGCCACAAACUUUGCAUCUUGCAAACUUUUUAAUGGUUGACCUCGGAUCAGGUAGGAAUACCCGCUGAACUUAA
rnacentral:misc_RNA from 1 species